rnacentral:sRNA from 1 species
GGAAGCGAAUGGGUUGGGACCUCAGGGUUUUCCGGAGCUGAAGAAUGACACAUUCCUGCGAGCAGCCUGGGGAGAGGAAACAGACUACACUCCCGUUUGGUGCAUGCGCCAGGCAGGCCGUUACUUACCAGAGUUUAGGGAAACCCGGGCUGCCCAGGACUUUUUCAGCACGUGUCGCUCUCCUGAGGCCUGCUGUGAACUGACUCUGCAGGUGAGGGGUCCACAAAAGAGGGAAAGAUUUAUGCCUUCAGUCUGCCACCUAGCAACCUGUCUCCUGUUUCCUACAGCCACUGCGUCGAUUCCCUCUGGAUGCUGCCAUCAUUUUCUCCGACAUCCUUGUUGUACCCCAGGCACUGGGCAUGGAGGUGACCAUGGUACCUGGCAAAGGACCCAGCUUCCCAGAGCCAUUAAGAGAAGAGCAGGACCUAGAACGCCUACGGGAUCCAGAAGUGGUAGCCUCUGAGCUAGGCUAUGUGUUCCAAGCCAUCACCCUUACCCGACAACGACUGGCUGGACGUGUGCCGCUGAUUGGCUUUGCUGGUGCCCCAUGGACCCUGAUGACAUACAUGGUUGAGGGUGGUGGCUCAAGCACCAUGGCUCAGGCCAAGCGCUGGCUCUAUCAGAGACCUCAGGCUAGUCACCAGCUGCUUCGCAUCCUCACCGAUGCUCUGGUCCCAUAUCUGGUAGGACAAGUGGCGGCUGGUGCCCAGGUGAGUCCUGAGAGAGAGAGAAAUAGGCUGGGAUUUGGUCUGUAAGGACCAGAAGCAAGAGUGUCCUAAACCUGAGAGGGCAGGGGUCUUAAUGCCAGGGAUGAAAGAACCUUGGCCUCCAGUGAUCUAGCUGAGCAGCCAAGCCCAUCC